CAGUCGCCGCGGGAAUACGGAGGGGGCUAGCGUUGUUCGGAAUUACUGGGCGUAAAGCGCACGUAGGCGGCUUGGUAAGUUAGAGGUGAAAGCCUGGAGCUCAACUCCAGAAUUGCCUUUAAGACUGCCGAGCUAGCAGGUGAGAGAGGUAAGUGGAAUUCCGAGUGUAGAGGUGAAAUUCGUAGAUAUUCGGAAGAACACCAGUGGCGAAGGCGGCUUACUGGCUCAUACUGGACGCUGAGGUGCGAAAGCGUGGGGAGCAAACAGGAUUAGAUACCCGCGUAGUCCCUGUCUCUUAUAU
rnacentral:rRNA from 1 species